rnacentral:rRNA from 1 species
GUGGAUUAGAUACCCUGGUAGUCCACGCCGUAAACUAUGGAUGCUAGCUGUUAGAAGUAUCGACCCUUCUAGUAGCGAAGCUAACGCGUUAAGCAUCCCGCCUGUGGAGUACGAGCGCAAGCUUAAAACAUAAAGGAAUUGACGGGGACCCGCACAAGCGGUGGAGCGUGUUGUUUAAUUCGAUGGUAAGCGAAGAACCUUACCCAGGCUUGACAUCCUGUGAAGCACUGCGAAAGCAGAGUGUGCCUUUUGGAACACAGUGACAGGUGAUGCACGGCCGUCGUCAGCU